UACGUAGGGUGCAAGCGUUAAUCGGAAUUACUGGGCGUAAAGCGUGCGCAGGCGGCUUUGCAAGUCAGAUGUGAAAUCCCCGGGCUUAACCUGGGAACUGCAUUUGAGACUGCAUGGCUGGAGUGCGGCAGAGGGGGAUGGAAUUCCGCGUGUAGCAGUGAAAUGCGUAGAUAUGCGGAGGAACACCGAUGGCGAAGGCAAUCCCCUGGGCCUGCACUGACGCUCCUGCACGAAAGCGUGGGGAGCAAACAGG
rnacentral:rRNA from 1 species